rnacentral:lncRNA from 1 species
CUUCUUGUUAUUCUUUUAAGCAUAUAAAGAGUUUCAGGAAUGCAUUUAAUAAUUAAAAGAUAGCAUUGAAAAGUUGAUUUGAAGAAUUACAUUUUAUAUGAAAGAAUUGUCAAAUUCUGAUUUUGAACAAAAAAGAUGAGCUAUUGAAGUCUAUGCUUCAAAUCUAAAUUUUGUAAGUGAAUUCUUUUCAUAGAAGUUUUAAGUUGGGCUAUAUUUUGAAUUU